rnacentral:rRNA from 1 species
CGAUGUAAGAAUGUAAGUGUGAAGCCCCCAUGAAGUGUGGAUUUCCAAGGCGUAAGCAGGAAGACACCUUAAGGACGAUGAGUGAGAUAGGCUAUGAGUGGAAGCAAUGUGAUAUGGGGAGCGGACUAUUACUAAUCAGUCGAGCACUUGACCAAA